CUGGUCCCGGCUCACCCACAAUCCUCCUCCACAGUGGGGCCGCUCACAUACUAUGCCACAAACUCACAAAACGCUCACAGAUGGUUCACUCUAGAUGAUUAUACUGCUGUACGAUGGUUUAGGGGUACUCACACCGUUACUACACGAGGUCUCUUUUCCCUCUUCUUUCCAGCUCCUGGGUACUUCUCCUGCUGCCACGUGCCCUGUCGAAAAGGCCUCCUUCGGCGAUACUUCCGGUGAGUCUUCCUGUUUUCAACCACUCAGAAUUUGUUACACAUGUCCAUGGAGCAUUUCACAGUUAAGUAGACAUUCCAAUAU
ensembl:lncRNA